GAACGCUGGCGGCAUGCCUUACACAUGCAAGUCGAACGGCAGCACGGGUGCUUGCACCUGGUGGCGAGUGGCGAACGGGUGAGUAAUACAUCGGAACGUACCUUAUCGUGGGGGAUAACGCAGCGAAAGUUGCGCUAAUACCGCAUACGCCCUGAGGGGGAAAGCGGGGGACCGUAAGGCCUCGCGCGAUUAGAGCGGCCGAUGUCUGAUUAGCUUGUUGGUGAGGUAAAAGCUCACCGAGAAGAUGAUCAGUAGCUGGUCUGAGAGGACGAUCAGCCACACUGUUUCUGAGACACGGGACAGACUC
rnacentral:rRNA from 1 species